UAUUUAAUCUUUUUGUCUAUCCUGUUUUUAUAUAAGUCCUCUAUUAAUUUGAAAGUCGAAUUCAAAACCUAGUUGGUUGUAAACAAGAAAAUAAACUUGUUAAUGGUGCAAAAAAAUCUAACAUUUUAGAUUAAUAAAUGGAGGUAUGGAUUUUAUUGCUGAUCCUUAUUAUUACAUGACCAUAAAUCAAUUUUCAAAUUAUAAGAUUAUUAAUAUCUAUAACUCAGGCGAGAUAAACGAUAACGACUAUCUUGCUUUUCAGUCACACAUGAACAAAUUGGCUCUAAAAAUAUCUACAUGUGGUGUUUAUUUGUCCGACGUCAUAAGACGGAAGCUUAUAAAAGACAUACAGUCGAGUUAGGAUAGGCAAUGUGUUGUGCUUUUAACGGAGUGAGCUGGUCUAGACACAAUGGAAGAACAUUACACGGCUAUUUUAUACGAAAAGUUGGGUACAUUUGUUUGGGUACCUAACGAAUGGCCGGCUCGUAUAGAAAUUCUAUUGCUGGCCUUAGCAGAGAGGAUAAUCGAUCAUUAUAACUAUGUGAGUCCUAUUAUACAGAUAAAUAAUGUACCAACCAAAUUAACUCGUCGCACUGACACUGCUGGAUUUUAUUACGUUUUCGAGAAAGUAUCUCACGAAAAAAUUUUUGGUGCUUAUAUUUACAAUGUAGAAGUACCUAAAAAUGGAGAAAGUAUUAAGAUAGAAAUAAACAGCGGAAGAAAUUUUGGCAGUGAUACACGGCCAAGUAACACGACGGAUUUCCUACCGGACGUUGCUAGAGUGUCACCUGGGCCAACAUUUCCGAAAUCGUGUUGGGGCGCACUGUCCAGUGGGGGAAGCAAUAGUAACAUACUUCGUCGACGAUUGCUCGGAAGUACUAAGCGCAGGACUUAUCAACGGAAGCACAGCGGCGGCUUCCGCAGCAAAACGAUUAACAAGCGCGGAAUUUUUUAGCUGCUUCAUGGAAUUAACUUGUUCAAAUGAAACUGUAAAAGAAGUUUUCUUUCAUUUCCCCACUAUCAGCUGGAUCCAAACGACAACAGAAAUAGCAGUUAAACAAUGAAAUGAUGUCAUGCUGCUUUUGGCGGUCGCCGCGAUAUUCUUCUUAUGUCAUGAUAUAAUUGAUUAAGCUAGGUCAUAAGUAUUAUACUGUUGUAAUGUCAUUUUCCCAGAUCUCUUAUGUAGGUUAUUGUGUGUU